UACGUAGGGUGCGAGCGUUAAUCGGAAUUACUGGGCGUAAAGAGCUCGUAGGUGGUUUGUCGCGUUGUUCGUGAAAACUCACAGCUCAACUGUGGGCGUGCGGGCGAUACGGGCAGACUUGAGUACUGCAGGGGAGACUGGAAUUCCUGGUGUAGCGGUGGAAUGCGCAGAUAUCAGGAGGAACACCGGUGGCGAAGGCGGCUUCCUGGACCAAUACUGACGAUCAGGUGCGAAAGCGUGGGGAGCAAACAGG
rnacentral:rRNA from 1 species